ensembl:lncRNA
CCUGCAGGGGUCGCUGGGGUGCGGGAUCUGUAUAGACAGACACUUCCUGUUUAUGUUUUAUGGCGGGUCGUAAACAUAGUAUAAAAAGGGGGCGACGGCUGCUGUAGGGUCCCCGCAUUCAUCAAGUUGGCUGCAGUAUUCUUUUCAUUCGACAUGGACUGCUCAUCAGAAGAAACCCAUAGAUCAGAUAGUCCUUAUUGUUUGUAUAGGGGCCCUCGUACCCCGUCGCCGCUGUCUUCCCCCGCCAUGGACGACUCUGUGUCGAGCAAUGAGGACAUUGAAAACCAGAUGCCUGAUGCACAGGUCAAUGAUGAACAUGUUCAAGGUGGGGGUGUGGCUAUGGAGACUGCUGAUUUAAAGGCUGUGCAACCCGGACCCCACUGGCUUCAAGAGUAUGCCGUCUAUCUGACCGGAUUGAAUCUGACCUUCCUACACAUCGGAGAGGACAGUGAGCUGGAGGUGGACACUGCUGUGAGAGACGACGGAUGGCCUGUAUCAAUACAGAUCCGUUUAAACCCUGCAUCGCUGGCUGUUCUGCGAUUUACCACGGGGGGUCUGUGUGGUGGCCAUCAUCAACCAUCAGAAGCAAGCGGACUGCUGG